GACGUAGGGCGCGAGCGUUGUCCGGAUUUAUUGGGUUUGAAGGGUGCGUAGGCGGCGUAGUAAGUCCGUGGUGAAAGCCCACAGCUCAACUGUGGAACUGCCAUGGAUACUGCUAGGCUUGAGUACAGACGAGGUAGGCGGAAUGGAUAGUGUAGCGGUGAAAUGCAUAGAUACUAUCCAGAACACCGAUUGCGUAGGCAGCUUACUAGACUGUAACUGACGCUGAGGCACGAAAGCGUGGGGAGCGAACAGG
rnacentral:rRNA from 1 species